AGUUUGAUCCUGGCUCAGGAUGAACGCCUUUGGCGUGCCUAACACAUGCAAGUCGAACGGAUCCAUACUGAAACCUAGUGAUGUAUGGAUUAGUGGCGGACGGGUGAGUAACGCGUGGAUAACCUGCCGUAUACAGGGGGAUAACACUUAGAAAUAGGUGCUAAUACCGCAUAAGCGCACGGUUCCGCAUGGAACAGUGUGAAAAACUCCGGUGGUAUACGAUGGAUCCGCGUCUGGUUAGCCAGUUGGCGGGGUAACGGCCCACCAAAGCGACGAUCAGUAGCCGGCCUGAGAGGGUGAACGGCCACAUUGGGACUGAGACACGGCCCAAACUCCUACGGGAGGCAGCAGUGGGGAAUAUUGCACAAUGGGGGAAACCCUGAUGCAGCGACGCCGCGUGAGUGAAGAAGUAUUUCGGUACGUAAAACUCUAUCAGCAGGGACGAAAAAAAGUCCUUUGGACUUUGGACGGUACCUGACCAAGAAGCCCCGGCUAACUACGUGCCAGCAGCCGCGGUAAUACGUAGGGGGCAAGCGUUAUCCGGAUUUACUGGGUGUAAAGGGAGCGUAGACGGCAGCGCAAGUCUGGAGUGAAAUGCCGGGGCUCAACCCCGGAACUGCUUUGGAAACUGUGCAGCUCGAGUGCAGGAGAGGUAAGCGGAAUUCCUAGUGUAGCGGUGAAAUGCGUAGAUAUUAGGAGGAACACCAGUGGCGAAGGCGGCUUACUGGACUGUAACUGACGUUGAGGCUCGAAAGCGUGGGGAGCAAACAGGAUUAGAUACCCUGGUAGUCCACGCCGUAAACGAUGAUU
rnacentral:rRNA from 1 species